UAAGGAGGAUGCGAGCGUUAUCCGGAUUUAUUGGGUUUAAAGGGUGCGUAGGCGGAUUUGUAAGUCAGCGGUAAAAAUGCGGUGCUCAACGCCGUAUCGCCGUUGAAACUGCGGGUCUUGAGUGAGCGAGAAGUAUGCGGAAUGCGUGGUGUAGCGGUGAAAUGCAUAGAUAUCACGCAGAACUCCGAUUGCGAAGGCAGCAUACCGGCGCGCAACUGACGCUGAUGCGCGAAAGCGUGGGGAGCAAACAGG
rnacentral:rRNA from 1 species